rnacentral:rRNA from 1 species
UACGAAGGGGGCUAGCGUUGCUCGGAAUCACUGGGCGUAAAGGGUGCGUAGGCGGGUCUUUAAGUCAGGGGUGAAAUCCUGGAGCUCAACUCCAGAACUGCCUUUGAUACUGAGGAUCUUGAGUUCGGGAGAGGUGAGUGGAACUGCGAGUGUAGAGGUGAAAUUCGUAGAUAUUGGGAAGAACACCGGUGGCGAAGGCGGUCUGCUGGGCAGUUGCUGGACACUGAGGCACGAAGGUCAGGGGAGCAACGGG